GGAAUUGUGGGAAAGAUUGGCCAUCGAGACCACUGUUGACCACACUCUGAACGUAGUGCACGGCCGGGUUUUGGGAACCAUGGGCACUUCUUGCAGGAGAUAGGAGCCUAAUGGUGGCUUGAAGUGAGCACUUACACAGAGACCGAAAUCUGUGCUGAAUGAGACUGUAAAUGGCUGAACAAAUCCAUGAGGCAAGAUUGGAAGUGAGAGCCCAGCUCCUGGAAGGCAAAAGCAUAGCAUCGUCUGUUAGAGGCCAGGGCGCCACAGAUGCUAUGGAUUAAGCCAGUGCUCUGUCUGCAUGCACACCUGCAUGCCAGAAGAGAGCAUUGGAUCCCAUUACAGAUGGUUGUGAGACCCCAUGUGGUUGCUGGGAAAUGAACUCAGGAUCUCUGGGAGAGCAGCCGGUGCUCUUAACCACUGGGCCAUCUAUCCAGCACCUCAUUAUGCAUAUAAAGUGAAAAAAUAAAAUAAAUAAAUG